rnacentral:rRNA from 1 species
AGCGAACGCUGGCGGCAGGCCUAAUACAUGCAAGUCGAGCGCACCUUCGGGUGAGCGGCGGACGGGUGAGUAACGCGUGGGAAUAUGCCCUUUGGUACGGAACAACUGAGGGAAACUUCAGCUAAUACCGUAUGUGCCCUUCGGGGGAAAGAUUUAUCGCCAUUGGAGUAGCCCGCGUUGGAUUAGCUAGUUGGUAGGGUAAAGGCCUACCAAGGCUACGAUCCAUAGCUGGUCUGAGAGGAUGAUCAGCCACAUUGGGACUGAGACACGGCCCAAACUCCUACGGGAGGCAGCAGUAGGGAAUCUUGCGCAAUGGGCGAAAGCCUGACGCAGCCAUGCCGCGUGAAUGAUGAAGGU